rnacentral:rRNA from 1 species
AACCAAUGACCUCCUGAACGUGCGUUGCACCCUUGGGAUUUCCUGAGAGUAUGUCUGCUUCAGUGCUUAA